UAGGGAAUCUUCGGCAAUGGGGGCAACCCUGACCGAGCAACGCCGCGUGAGUGAAGAAGGUUUUCGGAUCGUAAAGCUCUGUUGUAAGAGAAGAACGUGUGUGAGAGUGGAAAGUUCACACAGUGACGGUAACUUACCAGAAAGGGACGGCUAACUACGUGCCAGCAGCCGCGGUAAUACGUAGGUCCCGAGCGUUGGCCGGAUUUAUUGGGCGUAAAGCGAGCGCAGGCGGUUUAAUAAGUCUGAAGUUAAAGGCAGUGGCUUAACCAUUGUUCGCUUUGGAAACUGUUAAACUUGAGUGCAGAAGGGGAGAGUGGAAUUCCAUGUGUAGCGGUGAAAUGCGUAGAUAUAUGGAGGAACACCGGUGGCGAAAGCGGCUCUCUGGUCUGUAACUGACGCUGAGGCUCGAAAGCGUGGGGAGCAAACAGG
rnacentral:rRNA from 1 species